CCUGCCAACAGCAGGCCACAUUUCCUGCCAUCAGUCGGUGAGGAGCUAAUUGUAAUACAUCAGCAUACAAUUAAAAGGCCAUCCCGCUAGGCUCUUGGACCCCCACCAUAUCGACCAUCUACGUCGACGGGAGAACACACCAACGUGUUGCACAACAGCACACAGGUGAUGUGCACGACGGCCUUCACUGAGAUGCUUCAACCUAGUCCACAACCCAGGCAGCUGCCUGUUUCUCAAGUUUACAAGUCUUAGCGCAUUCUGGGCAAACCAUGGAAGGACAGAAUCACAAAUGUGGCAGUCUUCUCAAAGGUAAAUCUCCCAGGUAUGUUAGCAGAGACGACUUCACUGGCUCGGGCACAUUCACAGGAUGGAGGUUGGCCACAUAGCCAAGGAUUUUCUGUGUGAUAAGGUAGCCGGAGCCAGAAGACCAGUGGGAUGCACAAAACUC